UACGGGGGGGGCAAGCGUUGUUCGGAAUUACUGGGCGUAAAGGGCCAGUAGGCGGCCAACUAAGUCGGAUGUGAAAUCCCCAGGCUCAACUUGGGAACUGCAUCCGAUACUGGAUGGCCUGAAUUCGGGAGAGGGAUGCAGAAUUCCAGGUGUAGCGGUGAAAUGCGUAGAUAUCUGGAGGAAUACCGGUGGCGAAGGCGGCAUCCUGGACCGGCAUUGACGCUGAGACGCGAAAGCGUGGGGAGCAAACAGGG
rnacentral:rRNA from 1 species